AUAAGCACAUCAGCUGAAAAACAACCAUGACAAGGAGAGCAAUGAGAAUGAAGAAGAAGAGAAGCCAUGCCCAAACAUCAGCCAUUUUUCUCCUCUUAUUAGCUCCACAAAUCAAUUGGAUGAAGAAGGAAGAUUAAUAGGGCCAGGUGCGUGAUGCGCCCCCGGUGCUUCCUGGCAGCAAGCAACGAAUCGGACGAAAAGGCGAUUCCAAUUUUCAAGCUGAAGUAACGAUCCACUUUGUAGCCG
rnacentral:misc_RNA from 1 species